UGGGGAAUUUUGGACAAUGGACGCAAGUCUGAUCCAGCCAUGCCGCGUGCGGGAAGAAGGCCUUCGGGUUGUAAACCGCUUUUGUCAGGGAAGAAACGAGUUUCUCUAAUACAGAGACUUAAUGACGGUACCUGAAGAAUAAGCACCGGCUAACUACGUGCCAGCAGCCGCGGUAAUACGUAGGGUGCAAGCGUUAGUCGGAAUUACUGGGCGUAAAGCGUGCGCAGGCGGUGAUGUAAGACAGAUGUGAAAUCCCCGGGCUCAACCUGGGAACUGCCUUUGUGACUGCAUAGCUAGAGUACGGUAGAGGGGGAUGGAAUUCCGCGUGUAGCAGUGAAAUGCGUAGAUAUGCGGAGGAACACCGAUGGCGAAGGCAAUCCCCUGGACCUGUACUGACGCUCAUGCACGAAAGCGUGGGGAGCAAACA
rnacentral:rRNA from 1 species